rnacentral:tRNA from 1 species
UGGGUUGUGGCUCAGUGGUAGAGCACUUGCCUAGCAUGUGUGAGGCACUGGGUUCAAUUCUCAGCAUCACAA